rnacentral:rRNA from 1 species
AGUGAACGCUGGCGGUAGGCCUAACACAUGCAAGUCGAACGGCAGCACAGUAAGAGCUUGCUCUUACGGGUGGCGAGUGGCGGACGGGUGAGGAAUACAUCGGAUUCUACUUUUUCGUGGGGGAUAACGUAGGGAAACUUACGCUAAUACCGCAUACGACCUACGGGUGAAAGCAGGGGAUCUUCGGACCUUUCGCGAUUGAAUGAGCCGAUGUCGGAUUAGCUAGUUGGCGGGGUAAAGGCCCACCAAGGCGACGAUCCGUAGCUGGUCUGAGAGGAUGAUCGGCCACACUGGAACUGAGACACGGUCCAGACUCCUACGGGAGGCAGCAGUGGGGAAUAUUGGACAAUGGGCGCAAGCCUGAUCCAGCCAUGCCGCGUGGGUGAAGAAGGCCUUCGGGUUGUAAAGCCCUGUUGUUAGGAAAGAAAAGCAGCAGGUUAAUACCCCGCUGUUCUGACGGUACCCAAAGAAUAAGCACCGGCUAACUUCGUG